GACAUGCAGAGAACUUUCCAGAGAUGGAUUGGUGCCUUCGGGAACUCUGACACAGGUGCUGCAUGGCUGUCGUCAGCUCGUGUCGUGAGAUGUUGGGUUAAGUCCGUAACGAGCGCAACCCUUGUCCUUAGUUACCAGCACGUUAUGGUGGGCACUCUAAGGAGACUGCCGGUGACAAACCGGAGGAGGGUGGGGGAUGACGUCAAGUCAUCAUGGCCCUUACGGCCUGGGCUACACACGUGCUACAAUGGUCGGUACAAAGGGUUGCCAAGCCGCGAGGUGGAGCUAAUCCCAUAAAACCGAUCGUAGUCCGGAUCGCAGUCUGCAACUCGACUGCGUGAAGUCGGAAUCGCUAGUAAUCGUGAAUCAGAAUGCCACGGUGAAUACGUUCCCGGGCCUU
rnacentral:rRNA from 1 species